UUUUUUUUUUUUUUUUUUUUUCCUUUUUUGCUUUUUGCAGUACUACAGAUGGGUGCAUCACACUUCUGCCUUUUUCUUCCUAAGUUUCAGCAAGCGUCUCUCAGUCAUGAGAGCAGCAAGAAGCAGAAGAUUCAGCUUUGGGCUGUCAGGGCAAUCAGAGAAUCACAGCAUCUCUAAACAACUGGUAAUGCUGGUUCCUUCCACAGAGCUAUUCUCAACGCACCUGACCAGCCUAAGGUUCUGUUGCACUUCUUUCUUUUGGUUCUUGUUUUAAAGUGGUAUUGUGAAAAGGCAGGAAAACAGAAGAGAUUCAAGUAAGGUUUCCAUUAGGGAUUUUUAGACUUAGUGCAGUGCUUUUCUUCACAAAGAAAUGAUUCAGUUUAUUUUUUUAACAGAAAAUUAAAUAUCCCUUAGAUCAUACUGAUCUGGGGAUCACUAGUUUCCUAAAAUAUAACUUCUGUGCUGGUGGUAGUAUUCUAGUCAGUAUAGCAGUCAGUUAACUAUUGGAGAUUGGUUCAUUUCUUCCUUGUUAAAUAUAGUAACUUUUUAAACCACCUAGAAUAAAGUACUGCAUGACUGCACACUUACUUGUUUGUAUAUGUUCCCUUAAAUAAAAUGCAUCUGUAAACUGCAGCAUUUAUGGCAGCUUUCAAAGUGUUUACAAAAGAUUUACAGAUCAAAAAAGUUUCUAAUUGGAAUGUGUGUACUUAUUCUACAUUAUAAGGUAAUAGCAUAUAUACCCUUGCUUGGAUUCUUAAGUAUAACCUUCAGAAUUAUAGUAGCCACAAAGAUAUAUGAAAUGUGUGAGAGAUUAAAUCAGGUAUUUAACAUGCCUAGACCCUCAUAUUUUGUAUUUAAUACUCCAAUGAUUUCACUAAUAUGCUCUAAUGGUAUAGAUCAAGUGCCAGUUUUUCCAGGGACAGCUCUGCUUUACAGAGGAUAGCAAAUACACAAUCAUCCUGAUUAAUAUAUUGUCCCUACUUAAAUCCUUUCUUAAAGGGUAUGAGCAUUGCCACAAUGCCUAAAAACACCUGACCCAGUGUGCCUUUGUCUUGCAUUGUUCUGUUAGACCACUCUUAACAAAUGCAAUUAUUUGUUGCUGUUGUUUGGUUUUUUACACUGGAAUUACAAGUGUUCUGAUAGAAUACCAAGACAGAAGCACUCUAGUAGAUAGAACCAUUGUAAUAGAUAUCACCACUAUAACAGAUAUCACUGAGAGGGUGAUAGGGCAUGGUUUAAGAGAGGGUGGAAGAAGGCAAUAAACACAGUGGCUGGCAAACAGGUGCUCUUCAUUAUAUAAAAUGGCCAAGACAAGUUUGUCUUUGCAGGAAGAGAUGAAGGGGAGUAUUUUAUUAAUAUGGAAUUCUGUGUUGAAGUUAGUGAUUAGUGAAGUAUAUGGUGGAAAAUUCCUUUCAUAAAAUUAAAAGUUGGGAAGUAAAAAAAAAAAAAUUGCUAAUUUAUUUGAGUUAAAGAUCUCUUUAAAAAAAAAAAAAGCCUCAAACACCUUUUAUAAUGAUGACCUAAGAAGCAUCAUCACUAGAUGAAAUGCAAAUAACAAGUUUGAUGGGAAGGAUGAGGGCAUGCAGACUGAGCUGUCAUGGCUUUGUCAGUAUUGAAGAGACACCAAGGAGAAAGCAGUGCCGUGAAAAAUGUUUCUCAUUAAAGCAACACAAGGAGAGUUCAAGCUUCAUGAUUAAGUUUUAGAGAGGGUCACGUAAAUUGAAAUCCAUCAUGUUUGCUGGUCAAGAAAAGCAUAAGUGUUUCAGGAGCAGGUUGGAUGUGUGAGAAAGUCCAGCAUUAUGGCUUAUAGGCAGGAGUGGUAAAAAAAAAUAUGUUAGUAACAGCUCAAAAUUAAUCCAUGGACUUGUAAACUGAUGGUGUAUGGUGAAAAUGCUGUGAUGAAUAAGACAAAAUUACUUCCAAAUUUUAAUGUAUAACAUUAAUUAAAUUAGCUACUGUUUUGAUAGCUUUAUGUUAACAUGGGGUUUUCUUUGGUUUCUGAAACAAAAGUGCUGAGAGUAAUACAAAGCCAAAUAUUGAUCUUAUUUUCCUACUCAAAUGAAAUAUACAUAAACUAUUAGAUAUAAAUGUUCACAAUUUGAACAAUUAAAAAAAAUUAUAUUAUGGAAGUUACACACUAAUUGUCUCAUGAGAUGAGCUAUAGUUAUGACUGUAAAACAAAAUUACAAAAUAUGAACAUUAAUAUUAAAUAUAACAAAAUAUAAAUAUAAACAAAAUAAAAAAGCUCAAACAAAAUGCGUUUCAACAUUUUUGAAAGCAUUUUUUUAGAUUUUUUUUAAUUUCUGCUUUGUGGAAAAUUUUGAAAUAGUUUGUUCUGAUUCAGAAUAAUCAAAAUACCAGCAUUUUCCAUUAAACUGGAAAUUCCCAGUUUUAGCUGUUUGUAGUCUUGCUCUCACUUUCCCAAUAUUAAGUCCUAAAUAGGUCAUCUUUGCUCAAAAAAUUUGCUUACUUUCUUAUUCCUAAAAGCAGCAAAAAAGUCAGAAUUAGGAAAGAGAGAAAUUUAGGAGAUAUGAUUGCAUAAGCUCUGUCCUUGCAUUCAUAGAAAGAAGGUAAAAUAAGUGGGAAUUGGGAUGGGCAACCAUUAACAUACAAUGUGUAUGAAGGGUGAUUUCUACGAUUCAUUUAAGUGCUUCUGUCACAUAAAGAAGAAUGCAUAACCUUAGAUAUUCCCUUAAUUUCCUAGACUGUUUCUUCCACAUUUAGGAGGAAUGUACAGACAUAUUGAUUUUUUUCCUGAGUCAUCAUUAGCAUCAAGGCUAAAUCUGGGCUCGUAGAUUUUUAUAAAAAAGAGUCUAGCACAUAUGUUUAAUGGUAUUUUGCUUUUUCUGUGAGACACAUGAAUGCCAAUGACUAUGUGUGGGGUUUUUUUAAAUUGAUGACUUGAAAAACUGUAAAGAAAACUGAAUACUGCAAAUUUUAUUACAAGCACGUUGUGUAUGUCCAUACAAAGCAAACACUCUAAGAAAAUGGAAAAAAUGUCCAUCUAUUUUAUAUUGGCCUGAAGAGUACUUGCGUGAGUUAGACACUUCAGAAACUACUCCUUAUUCUACUUAAAAGCAAACUCUUUUUGGAAAUGAAAUAAGAUGUCUCUAAACAACAACAACAAAAAAAAAAACAAAACCAAAAAAA
rnacentral:lncRNA from 1 species